CGGCCGGGGUCCAGCUCCUUACCCGCGGCUCGCCCCUCCGCCAGCUCCGCGCUGCGCGGGCCCGGCCCCCGGCUCCGAGCCGGGCGAGGCCGCGGGCCCGGCCCCUAGCGGGGAGGGAGCCGGGGCUCCGAGCCCGCCGCCGGGCGCUGAGGGGAGGGCGUGGGGCGGGCGCUGAGGGAAGGGGCCGCAGGGGAAGCGGGAGGGCUCCGCCGGCCCGGCCGCCGUCUCUGUCGUGCUCUGCCUGCGAUAUCGUGUCGCGACAGCGGGAUCUCGCGGUGGAAGGCCGGGAAGAGGCCGGCGUUGCUGCUGAGGCAGCCAGGCCGAGGGAACAGCUGUCAGAGACGGUGCCCUUUGGGAGCACGUCGUGAUAUGAAGUUAGCUCGUGUCCUCUGCAUGCUGGAUCCUGUUUUAAUAUUGCUAUUACAAGGAAAAUAAUGUUGGAAACAAGCUAGCAAGUACCCAAACUGAAUAAAAACAGUCUGGAAGAAUCUUAAGAGUGGAACUUCUGUGUACAUCAGGGUUGCUGGAGGGGUGUCUUCACUCCUGAAUUCUUCUCUGAUUGAAACUGAGGACCGGUGUGUGAAUUAUCUCAGAAUAACAGAUGCCACCCAUCUAGCCGAUCAGGGCAUCCUGUAGCACCGAGACUGCCUUUCACCAGCUGGGGGGGUGCCAGGAGCCAAAAUCUGGAACCUGAUUGCGGUGCUUUGUGGUCCAGUGAUAGGAGAUAGAUAUUUUAAAACGCUUCUCUUUUGAAGCGCUAUUUCUACAAAACAGGUGGGUGCACACAGCUUUGAAGCGAUACGGGGCUUUUCACCUGGGCACAAGGUCUCCUUCUUCCCGAAGCAGAAGGGGAAGGGUGUCCGGUCCAGUGACUAGAGAAAACAGUGCGGGAGCAGGGCUGACCCUUCGCUGCUGGAGCAGGGAAGCCAUGCAGGCAUGGUCAGGGGGAACCGGGCUGGAGAAGCAAAAGGAAUGGAGGCAAAA